GAUGAACGCUAGCGGCAGGCCUAACACAUGCAAGUCGAGGGGUAGAACACUUCGGUGUUUGAGACCGGCGCACGGGUGCGUAACGCGUAUGCAAUCUACCUUGUACAGGGGAAUAGCCCAGAGAAAUUUGGAUUAAUGCCCCAUAGUAUAUAACCUUCGCAUGUUGGUUAUAUUAAAGUUCCAACGGUACAAGAUGAGCAUGCGUCCCAUUAGUUAGUUGGUAAGGUAACGGCUUACCAAGACGAUGAUGGGUAGGGGUCCUGAGAGGGAGAUCCCCCACACUGGUACUGAGACACGGACCAGACUCCUACGGGAGGCAGCAGUGAGGAAUAUUGGUCAAUGGUCGCAAGACUGAACCAGCCAUGCCGCGUGCAGGAAGACGGUCCUAUGGAUUGUAAACUGCUUUUAUACAGGAAGAAACCCUCCCACGUGUGGGAGCUUGACGGUACUGUAGGAAUAAGGAUCGGCUAACUCCGUGCCAGCCGCCGCCGUAACAC
rnacentral:rRNA from 1 species